rnacentral:rRNA from 1 species
GUCCACGCCGUAAACGAUGGAUGCUAGCCGUCGGCAAGCUUGCUUGUCGGUGGCGCAGCUAACGCAUUAAGCAUCCCGCCUGGGGAGUACGGCCGCAAGGUUAAAACUCAAAGGAAUUGACGGGGGCCCGCACAAGCGGUGGAGCAUGUGGUUUAAUUCGACGCAACGCGAAGAACCUUACCAGCCCUUGACAUGGUCGGACGGUUUCCAGAGAUGGAUUCCUCCUAGCAAUAGGUCGACACACAGGUGCUGCAUGGCUGUCGU